UGCCCAUUCAGAUACUAUGCUCAAAUGCCCAAUGCAGCAAGAAAUUUAGGGGGCCACACCUUGUCAAAACAUGAUGUGUAUGAGGAUGGUUGAACUGUUACAUUCUGGAGAAUGUAUACUAAAAGCUAUCAGCCAAUGGUGGCACGCCUAUUUUUACCAAGCUACUAAGAUCACUCUGAGGACUAUUGUUUGGGCCCCAAGUAAACCCUUAACUUAGCGCUUGAUCAACCGCCCACACACUUCUGGGGUGAACAUGAAUUGGGCAUCUCAUAAGCAAUGAGUUCAAUAUAGCAGACCAUAUUUGAAAAUCAUUGAGAAGACAUGUGAAAAUGAACAUGCCAAAUUGCCAACACUAAGUAUAUAUAUUUUUUUGCAUAAACUCAGAAUCAAGAACCACUAAUGGAAUGGAACACCAAAUUUUUCAAAACAAAUCUGUAUUAUUGCACUCACAAAGCUCAAUUACUCUUUAAACCAGAAACAAAAAAAAUUCAUCUUUGCUUUGAUUCAGUGGACCCAAUUUUGGAAGGACUUGCUGGGAUGGGAAAAUAUUCAUUAUUUUCAGAACACAUCAUAAGCAACUUUUUUAAAUAGUGAUACCAAUCCCACAAACUGACCCUAAAUCCAAGUAAGCCUGAGAGAGACUAGAAGGUUCAAACGAAGCCGAGUACAUGCUUUGCUCUUUCUUCCGUUGCUAGAGAAAUUAAAGAGAAAAAUUGGUAGGAAUUUUGUUGGUUUCAGGAACAUGAAGCUUCCCUGGCUGGCCUAUUUCCAAUACCCACAUGUUUUUCAAGUGGUUUCGAAAGACCAUUAUCCUAACUCUUUUUUUCACAGUUUGGCUGUGGCUAUGGCCUCAUAUUAGACUUUGAUUUCAAUCCCUUUUUCUUUUCUUUUUUCUGUUUCCAAUACAUUCCCUCUUUCAUUUUGUUUAUUACAUGAUUCAUAAUUGAUUGCAUGAAUACUUUUUGUUCUUCAAUCAUAUAUAAAAUUGAAAGUGGGUUUAUGUUACGUCAAAACAGAGAUUAGGUGGCUUCUCCUUCAUAUAAUUUAUCAAAUUAAAUCAGAAGUCUCCCAAGGAUCCAUUCAGAAAUGAAAAGUGAUACAAUCCUCUAUCCAAAAAAAGCAUAUGGUACAAUGACCAAAACACCGUUCCCUAUAAGAUUGGCUUCCGCUAAUUAGAAGGCUAGUUAUGUCAUUGAAUUGUAUGGAACACAGCAAGCAACUCACUCCAAGAGGACUGUGGGCCCAAACCAAAUUACGUGGGCUCUCCACAGUGGGGACACGUGGGCUUGUGUGUUGACCGACAAUUGCUGAGCGAAACGUGUAUGGUGGGUAUCCAAUCCAGUUGAUGCCUUAAAUGGGUGGACUGCCAGUGACCUGAGGAAGGUGAAACCCGGAGUCCUACUAAAUACCAAAUUUUUAACAAUAAAAAAAAAUUCUACUUUCAUGUUAUCGCCUCCUGAUUGGUUUCUGUUUGACACUGUGACACUGGAAGAUGCUGAGUCAUGAAGCUUCACGGGGCCCCACCUACCCAAUUAUACAUGCACUUGACACAUGCACCCGACCCAAGUUUGAAUUUUCUUCCCAUCUUUUUGUUUUUAGUUUUUUAGCUUUAUUAGGUGAGCAAAUUAUGAGUGUUAUUAGUAUGUAUAGGAGAAUUGAAUUAUGAUUAAUUUGACUAUUAAAAUGAUGCCACUUGCAAAUCAAUGAUUAAGAGUUCGCUAGCAUCCAAUUAAAAAGAGUUUAAUCUAAGGUAGUGGCACAUACAAAAGUUGAAAACAUGGGUCCUGGGAUUUGCUUAAGCAAACAAAGUUAUGAUUUUGUAGUAAUCCAAUGUAUUAAUGCCUUUUUUUUUUCUUUAUAAAAAAAAAUUUAUGAGGAGAUUGGCUACUCUCAUUAUUAGCGUCAUGCUAUAUCCACAACUUCAAACCGGAAAGACUUAUGCGUGGCAUUCAACUGCCAGUUGCUAUUAGUAUGAAUUUAUGUAGGAAAUUACAUAUUGCAUACCAAUAAGAACUGCUGAUAGCAGGACUCAAACACUAAUUAGACUACACACAGUGCAAAGACUUUACCAACUCAACAAACCUUCAUUCAUUUAAUACUUUAAUACCAUAGCUUCAUUGGGAUUUAAUAAUGUAUUAAUAAUAUAAAUCUUCAAAAUUAAUAUAAAAAGGGUGACACCUUUGUCUUGUAUAUGUGAACAAGUGAGUGGCUUUCCUGUAAUCUCAUCUCAGGACGGAAGGGUUGAAGAAGACAGAGGAGAAGUAAUUAUUGGUUGGCGCUGGCGCGUUAGGCUGCGCAGAAACAAGAGGUACACAGCGCACUAGAGGGAGGGCCAUAGGGUUUUGGCUUUUCCUAUUAAAGCUCAACUCAACUCAACCAAAACCAUAAACAUUCCAACCUCUCGCCUCAUUGUGUUCCAAUUCUCUUCUGCAUCAACUGUGAGAGAAUUUCUACUCGAAUUUCAAGGUAAAGUUCAAAUCUUUUCUUCAAUUCUAGCUGGUUCUUAUUGCUCCUAUAAAACUAUGAAAUUUUGUUUAUUAUCAGUUUUUGUUUCUCAAUAUUUUCUUGUUUGGUUCCCUUGAAAAUUGAAUCUGGGAAAUUUAUAUGAGUUUAAGCAAUGGAAGGCAGGUGGUUUCCAAUUUCCUGAUGGUAUUAUGAAGUCCUGUUUCUCUUCUAAAAUCAGGAAGAAAAAAAAAAAAAUUGACCCGCCCAGGCCACCUAGCGCCUAGGCGCCGCCUAGGCCGAUUUUUCUAACACUGUUUUUAAGAUGUAGAAAUACUUGCUGAAGUUCAUAGCUUGCCAAUAGAAUGAUGCAUAAACUGACAAUAUUGUGAAAUGUUAAAGUUUGCUUGACAGAAUUGUUAUUAUUUAUUGCGAAUAAUAUGCAUUCUUUUUCAAAUUCUUUUGUGAAUCACGCACCAAGUUUAGGCAUGUGAAGGCUCAAAGAUCAUUUCUUUCCUUUAUUCUCUCAGGUCAAAAUCUGAUAUAUUUAUUGGGGAGUUGGAAAGCUUUAACUGAUUGCUAUCUGGUUUCUCGUCCGCCUAAGUUUCAUCUACUUCAUCUUCUUCAGUUUUCUCUGGGUUAUCAAAGAAGAAAACCAGGGAAUGCUGAAAGAUGUGCUUCAAAGUUGACAACUCUCCAUUACUGAUUGAUGAGGUUGUAGCUCUGUUUGAGCUGCCCUUGUUCAUCAAUGAUGAGACUGAACAAACCCACAGUCCAUUCAGAUUCUAUGCUCAAAUGCCCAAUGCAGCAAGAAAUUUAGGGGGCCACACCUUAUCAAAACAUGAUGUCUAUGAGGAUGGUUGAACUUUUACGUUCUUGAGAAUAUAGUUUCUGUAUUAUAUACUACGCUAUCAGGUAGAAGUAGCUUCUGCUGUGUACAAGAAUAGUAGCCUUAAAUGGAAAACAAAGGGAGUGUGUUGAUGCAGCGGUAUGAAAUGGGGAGAUUAUUAGGCCAAGGAACCUUUGCCAAGGUACACCAUGCAAGGAACCUUAAAACUGGCAUCAGUGUGGCAAUUAAGAUAAUUGAUAAAGAAAGGGUCUUGAAGGUUGGGAUGAUUGAUCAGAUUAAGCGAGAAAUUUCUGUCAUGCGACUAAUUAGACAUCCCAAUGUUGUGGAGCUUUAUGAGGUAAUGGCCAGC
rnacentral:lncRNA from 1 species